CACAGAAGAGACCUGGAUUCAGUCAGAAUGCAGUGUGUGUCUCAAAACUAUGCACUGUGUCUCAAAACUAAUCUCUACAGCCUUGAAGACUGGAAACUCGCUCAGACACUCCAUGCACCAGGCGCUUGAACUGACGGACCUGGAAAGAUAAGAUCCCCAUCAAAACCACCACCAUGAGCAGAAAAGGAUAAAUUCGACGUUGCACUAGGUUUUGCAUUUCAGGAGUGACACCUGCAAAAAAGUUAACAAGAGCAAAUGAGCUAAAGGUUAAAAUAAAGGCUUUGCAUUUCAAAUAUUGGAACUGGAGCAACCAACAAGCAAAACUCUACCAAUAUCAACCUCUUGAUUCUUGCCUUUCAUCUCACCAAGUGAUACUGCAUUAUGCUGCAAGGCUUGUCUCUUUGCUAUGGGUGCUCAGUGGCUGCUGGUUUACGUGAAAAGAGAAGAAUUUUUCCUGAAACCUCUUCUGCUUACUGGUAUUCGGAUUUUUGUCAGCAAAUAGGCUUCCAGAGUAUCAGAACAUUUCUGUCUUUGCAAAGCCGAAUUCAUAGAAGCUGGAGCUAAUAAAGUUAUGGCCUGUUUAAUA